rnacentral:lncRNA from 1 species
GAAGAGCAUGUUCACUCUAUGCCUUUGCAAGACUCUCUGUAUGCUUAAAAGGGCAGUAGAGUGGAGACUUUUUGUUAUUACCUAGUCAAAAGAAACGUGUAUUUAUUGUUCUAUAMAGUAGGACCUGGAGCUCUAGGUCUGCAGCUGCCUGGGCUCCCUUUUGCCCUCUGUUCUCUGGCCCUGUGAAUGUUGUUCUCAGGAAGAGGAGAAGUUUGCUCCCCCUCCGGGUGCCUCUCUGCCUGCAGGUUUGAACAGUCCCCUGGCGUGUGAAAGUUGGGAAAUCUCUGCAGACUGUGGAAGGUCCCAGACCCAAGCCUCUCACAUCCAAGGAACAGCCAGGAGUGAGACAGAGGAUUUAUGAUGGAAAAUUUUGAAAAUUCGUCAUGGAAGGCUGUUUACAGAGAAGCAUUGGUGAAGAAAUUGCCAUGUCACCAACUUCAGUCCUUCUAGAUUCCCUUCAUAGUCAAAGAAGAGGAACUGACCUACCUAAGCAUGGUCAUCAGAUGACUCAUGACCUUGAUGUACCCAUUACUCUCCACAGACUAUACAGAACCUCUAAACAACCAGUUGAGAAAAAUGGAAAACCAUAAUCAACAGUCAUAGAGAUGGAAAACAGUAACRUCAGCAAGAGAACAAGCUCAGCAGAAGGGGAAUUUUCUACCUUCUAAAUAUGUAACUAACAUAUUAAUCACCUGA